CUGGGCGGGGCGAUCGGCGCGGAAGGAGUGUCGGGCCCGGGGGCGGGAGCAGGGCGUCCAGCGGAGAAGGCAGAGGAGGGGAGAUGCGGGCUCCUCCAGGUAGCGCAGGAGCCCCUCCGGCUGCCGGAGCCCCGCGAGGGCGCGAGUGGAGGGCAGGAGCCCGGGCGGCGGAGGAGCGGAAGGGAUGCUGCGUUGCCUUGGAGUGUCAGGGUGGGGGAGGAAAGACCAAGGGACCCACGUCCUUCGCCCCCGCCGCGGAGUCCCGGGCCGGCGAGACUUCCGCAGCCUGCCCAGCGCCGGGGACCUAGGGCUUUGCAGGAGUCCGCCCGGGAGCUCUAUCAGAGCGGGCGUCCUCCCCGCCGCUCCAAAGGUGGCUUGGGGCAGGUGGGGCGUCCCGGAGGGAAUGGAGGGACCCUGCCUAGGGAAGUCUGGCACAUUCCUCCCCAAACACCGGCGUCUUCCCAUGGCAGGAGGGAUUUCGCUGCCUGUGGGGCUUCAGUGCUGAACCAGGCAGCCCUGAGCAGACCAGGACCGAGCUUCCCAAACCUGACCGGGAAGGAGCCCUGGUUGCAUCUGGGAUCCACGUGGUCGACAGAGAAUCAGCUCGCAGCUCACCACCCCAGUGACUUCAGGGCAGCCCACCUUCCCCUGGCGCUCCUCAAACGAGCCAGGGAGUGGCCCCUGCUCAGACUCCCCUCCUGCCUCCCGGACCCUGCAGGCCUACCCGCCCCAGUUGCCCUUUGCCCUCCUGCAGCCUUCUGGGGGUGCUACAUGUCUGAGGCCCGGUCUUCUGUCCUGCUCCUCCUGAUGGGGGGUCUGGGCACUCUCCCUAAUUCAUCGCGAAGACUCUGACACCCAAUGCCCGUCUUCAGGCCCCGGCAGAUGCAGAGAAGUGGGCUUCACACCCACAUCUGCCUGACCUCAGGUGCUGGCUCCUGCAGUCACAGCCCUGAGCCCCGGCCCCUCCAGGCUGUCUCCUGCUUGUCCAGGUGGGCAUGAGCUGGUCAGUUCCUGGCCACUGCCCUUCAGACCCCAUGCCAGGACUUUGGGUUGGGCUCUGGGCAUGGCACUAGCCAGGCCUGGGUGCCUCCUUGAGCAGCUGAGGGCUGGGAGGGAUGACAAUGUAAGCGGCUAUCUGGCUUCAGGCCCAGGCUGGCCAUCUGGUGGCCAUAGCUCUCACAGGCUGGGCCCCUGCUUCUCCUGGCUCCCCUCUUAGGGGCAGGAGACCCUCAGUGGCCUCACUGCGGACUGCUGGACAGGCCCUGUGUGGAGGCACCAUCCGGGUCCGCCAUGCCUCGUGGGUCAGAACAUCCCUGUGAAGUGCAUGGUGUUUUCUGUGGCUGCCACAGGAGGCUCUGGCCAGGGUUGCCCCCCACUGUGGCUCUCAUUUUUUUCAAAGCCCAGCUCACCUCCUUCCUGAGCAGCCAAUGCCUGCACAGAGCACAGAGCCAGGUGGAUUAGGAACCCAGUUGAUGAGAAGCAGAGGCCCUUGGUUUAAGCCUGAUCUUGUGACAGACAGGAAGCAGAGACCCUCUAAGGGAGCUCAGGCUGCCCAAGGCCACCUGCCCAGCAGGCCCCACAAAGUUCUUCCACUCUAGGAGCACUGCAGCAAGGUUCCCUCUUAGAAACCAAAACAGAUGGCUUGACCCCACUCAGGACCUCGAGUGGUCAACCCCUGAGUAGCCCCACUGGGCAAAACCAUCUCUGCCCAAGGAAGGCGUCCUUAACUCAAUUUUUGCCUUUCCAGGUCUUCUCUGAAAGAGGCCAAACAAGUUUUUAAAAGUUUAAGAAAAUCGAACAGAGGAGGAGAAAAAUAAAGCCACAAAUAUGGAAUCAUGGAAUAAUGAUUCCGUAAUAAUGGCCCACCAUAAUUGACGGGCCAAUCCCUUUAUCCAAGGCAUGUGUUGUUUGUUUGUUUGUUUGUUUUGAGAUGGAAUCUCACUCUGUUGCCCAGGCUGGAGUGCAAUGACAUGAUCUCGGCUCACUGCAACCUCCACCUCCCAGGUUCAAGUGAUUCUCCUGCCUCAGCCUCCCAAAUAGCUGGGAUUACAGACACCCGCCACCACACAUGGCUAAUUUUUGUAUUUUUAGUAGAGACUGGGUUUCACCAUGUUGGCUAGGCUGGUCUUGAACUCCUGACCUCAGGUGAUCCACCCACCUCAGCCUCCCAGAGUGUUGGGAUUACAGGCAUGAGCCACCGUGCCCAGCCAAGACAUGUAUUCUUACGCUUGAGAUAGAACAGGUCUACCAGCAUUGAAUAGAAAUCAGGGAGUGCUCACUGUUUGGAAGAGAAGGCAGACAAUGAAACUGGGUAGACAGGCGGCUGUGGAGCACGGCUCUGGCCUCUGAGAUGCCUGGGGCCAAAGCCAAGGGUGGAUAGAUCUGUGUUUCUGUGCCUCACAGCAUGAACCUAGAUAGGUGAUGCUUCCUGGGAGAAGCAGGUUUAAUCCAGGCACUGCUUUCUACAAAGAGCUGUUCUCAGAGGGCUUCUCUGAGGUCAAGGCAGGGUCUUCUGCCAAGGCAUGCUGGGUGGGUGGGGUCCCAGACACCCAUGGCUGCAAUGAGAUUUGCAGGAGAUGCAGAUCACCUCAGCCCAGUGUUCUUCAUAACCUGUCCCAGUGUCUAGGAGCUCCAUAACAUUCAUCCUGUGACCCUAACACUAACCCUGAUCCUCUACCUAACACUGACCCUACCAAUAACCCUGACACUAACCCUGACCCUAACACUGACUUUAAUACUGACCCUACCAGUGAUCCUGACAUGAACCCUGACCCUAACCCUCACUGUAUCGCUGACUCUCACUGUGACACUGUGACCAAGACCCUGACCCUGACCCUAAGUCUAGCCCUAAACCUGAUCGUAACACUAACACUGACCAUGAACUUGACCCUAACUCUAACCCAGGCUCUAACCCUAACCCAGAACCUGACCUUAUGAUACUGAUACCCUGAUGCUGACGCUGACCAUAACCCUAACCACCGCCCCAACCCUAACCCUGACCUUAUGACCUUAUGACCUUGAUCCUAACCCUAACUCUGAACCUAACUAUGACACUGACUCUAGUCCUGACCAUAAUUCUGAUCCUACUGCUAACCCUAACCUUGACCCUGACCCCCCAACUCACACCCUGACCAGGACCCUAACCCUAUGUUUGAACUAAAUGUCUUCACGUAUUAGGGAUGUUUUAAGGUUCUUGUAAGUUUGGAUGCAUCUUGCUGACUUGCAUUAUUUAUAAUUACAAACACAAGCAGCUAUGAUUGAGCUUUGCAGCAAAUGUUUUCCUUCUCUUGACUUCUGGGUCAGUUUAAUUAAAAUGUGCUUUGCUGUAGAAGUCAAGCUUUUUAAAAAACCAUUGAAUUUAUUGGACAAAACACAAUAUGUUGUAGCUGAGACCACACGGCCAUUCAGAGUCCCAGAUUUUGCAUUUUUGUAUGUAUCAAAACAGUCUUGUUAUCCUUACUGCCUUUAGAAGUAUUCUGCUUGACAUACAUAAAAAUGCAUAAUUCAAAAUACUGAUUUCAUUUGAUUCAUUGCCAAAAGUAAGUUUGAAAUCCACAAACACAUAGACACAGACGCACAGCAGCAGGCAGAUGCUGAGAGACCGUCUCAGGCACAUGGGAUGCACACACAGACACACGGGGAAGCACACACAGACACACGGGGA
rnacentral:lncRNA from 10 species